ensembl:lncRNA
CAGCUAAUGGACCGAGGUGUUCAGGAUCUAUAACUACAUUGUUUCCUCAGCUCAAUAUUAAAGGAUGCUUAAUUGCUACUGAUCAAGGACUAAGGAAGCGCCCUGCUAAAACUACAUGGUACAAAAUGCAGACUGAUAAGUCUGAAAGUACGGGUCAACCUGUUCCGUUUUGCACUUCAGACAAGAUAUUUGAAAGAACAUCUUCAGAAAGUUUCCAGAAGACAGGACAAGCUGAAUUGAGCGAUAAUCAACAGAGCCAGAGUGAUGGGGUAGAACAGAUUUCUACAUUUCCGUACAAUAGGGGCAAUGACCCCUGCUCCAUUCGCUGUCUGAUCAAAACUAUUUUAAAUUUGGUCAAUAACACAAAAAUGAACCAGAAGCUGAUCAGAGAAAAAACUGAGAUGAGCACCAGUCACUAGAGGAGGACUGAAAAGACAGUGUUCUUCCAGCUGGACUUAUGAGCAACAGGACAUUGGACUGGAGCUCAAUUUGAGGAAAAAUACAAUCAGAGGACUAAAUGAGAUACAACAACAGAGGAAGACUAAAAAGCUGUAGAUGACAAAUUUUACUCAGGCUUGACAGUCAAUCAGAGGAAAAUACAUGAUGCUCUCUCAUCAUCCGAUGAGGACUGGAAAGCGCGAGCUUUCCAGCUGUACUUUCAAGGAGCGCAGGGACGGUAGCUCCUCUAAGACACAUCUUGCACCUUUGAACUCUGAUCAUCCAUCCAUCUUCUAUACUGCUUAUCCUUUUCAGGAUCAUGGGGAAACCAUGGCGGGGUACACCCUGGACAGGGUGCCAAUCCAUCGCAGGGCAGACUCACAUACACAUUCACACACCCAUUCAUGCACUACGGACACUUUAGACAUGCCAAUCAGCCUACCAUGCAUGUCUUUGGACUGGGGGAGGAAACCAGAGUACCCGGAGGAAACCCCCGCAGAACAUUCAAACUCCGCACACACAGGGCCACGGUGGGAAUCGAACCCCCGACCCUGUGAGGCGAACGUACUAACCACUAAGCCACCGUGCACCCUGAACUCCGAUCAAUUUGAUAAAAAAUACAACAGCGCACCGAAUGUCAUUGAUAGCACAAAAACAUUGCUCUCCGUAAGAGGACUAAAAUGCCACAGAUCUCCAACUCUAAUUUUAAGAAGCAGCAGGACAUUAGCUCAUCUGAAGCACAUCUUUCACCUUUGGUUGAAGCUCCAGUCAGUCUGGUCAAAAAUACAAAUGGUCAAAAUUUGUUCAAAGGACCAACUGAGCUAAAAACUGGUCACCAGAGGACUGAAAAGAGAGGGCUCUCCAGCUGUACUUUCAAGGAGCGCUGGGACGUUCCACCUUUGAUUGGAACUUCGAUCAAUUUGAUAAAAAAUACAACAGCAUGCCGAAUGUCACUGAUAGGACAAAAUGAGCUAUACAUUUCUCUCCGUAACAAGGGGGGCCUCAUACUGAAAAAGACUGAGAACCACUGGACUAGGGCAAUGUAAACAAAACAAACAGG